rnacentral:rRNA from 1 species
GCUGGCGGAGUGCUUAAUACAUGCAAGUCGAGCGAGAACGUACCCUUCGGGGUGCUAGUAGAGCGGCGAACGGGUGAGUAACACGUAAGCAACCUGCCUCUAAAUCGGGAAUAACCUUGCUAACGCGGGGCUAAUACCGGAUGUGAUCCAGAUUUCGCAUGGUUUCUGGAUUAAAGGUGACCUCUACAUGUAAGUUAUCGUUUAGAGAUGGGCUUGCGGACCAUUAGCUUGUUGGUGGGGUAACGGCCUACCAAGGCUACGAUGGUUAGCCGACCUGAGAGGGUGAUCGGCCACAUUGGGACUGAGAUACGG